AAUAUUGCACAAUGGGGGAAACCCUGAUGCAGCGACGCCGCGCGAGUGAAGGAGUACUUCGGCAUGUAAAGCUCUAUCAGCAGGGAAGAAGAUGACGGUACCUGACUAAGAAGCCCCGGCUAACUACGUGCCAGCAGCCGCGGUAAUACGUAGGGGGCAAGCGUUCUCCGGAUUUACUGGGUGUAAAGGGGGCGUAGGUGGGGGGGUAAGUCAGAUGUGAAAGCCCGGGGCUCAACCCCGGGACUGCAUUUGAAACUGCCGUGCUAGAGUGCAGGAGAGGUAAGUGGAAUUCCUAGUGUAGCGGUGAAAUGCGUAGAUAUUAGGAGGAACACCAGUGGCGAAGGCGGCUUACUGGACUGUAACUGACACUGAGGCUCGAAAGCGUGGGGAGCAAACAGG
rnacentral:rRNA from 1 species